GAUUGCCUUCAGCACCAGCUGCUCGACUUUCACUUCUGCUGGGAUGGCUACUCAUCAUAGUAGGUGUGAUUUUGCUUGUGAGUUCCACCCGGCUACUGCGGCACCUACCACGGCCAUUACGACGCUUCAUGAGNNNNCAUUGAUCGGAAUUUUAAUCUGAGUCGAUCAGGGUCUCUCCGGGUUAAGGAUUCAAACCCAAGUGCUGUUAUCCAGGCAGCAACAUUGCAUCAUUUGAUAUCAACUCCAGCUAAAGAGAAAGCAUGAAUAGAAAAAAUCACCAAGUUUGCUACCAAU
rnacentral:misc_RNA from 1 species